rnacentral:misc_RNA from 1 species
UCUCCGUUGGUGAACCAGCGGAGGGAUCAUUAGCGAGUUGCAAAGCUCCCUAAACCACUGUGAACUCUACCCGACGUACGCUCCCGUUGCUUCGGCGGACCUCCCCGGAGGGCCGCCGGAGGGACGAGGGCCCCAAACUAUUGCUGUACUUGGCCACUCUGAGUAUUGCUUCCAAAUAAGUUAAAACUUUCAACAACGGAUCUCUUGGUUCUGGCAUCGAUGAAGAACGCAGC